GAUUUCUGGCUUGAAACAUUUUGCCGGCCACGGUUUCGUGUGUUAGUGCUUGAUGUUCUGGCCAUCCUUCCAAUCGCUACUGGCUAUUCUUCAUUGAUUGGUCAGUGGUAUUGGAUCUUUUACUUUGAAAAAAUUAGAGUGUUUCAAGCAGGCUUUAUGCUAUGAAUACAUUAGCAUGGAAUAAUAAUUUAGGACUUCGGUUCUAUUUUGUUGGUUUCUAGGACUGAAGUAAUGAUUGAUAGGGACAGUUGGGGGUGCUAGUAUUCGAUGGCCAGAGGUGAAAUUCUCGGAUUCCUUGAAGACUAACUUAUGCGAAAGCAUU
rnacentral:rRNA from 1 species